AACCAGUCCUUCCUGAUGAGGCAAUGGAAACUGCCGAAACUGACC
rnacentral:hammerhead_ribozyme from 15 species